rnacentral:rRNA from 1 species
GGAUGAACGCUGGCGGCGUGCCUACUCCCUGCAAGUCGAGCGAACAGACGAGGAGCUUGCUCCUCUGACGUUAGCGGCGGACGGGUGAGUAACACGUGGAUAACCUACCUAUAAGACUGGGAUAACUUCGGGAAACCGGAGCUAAUACCGGAUAAUAUAUUGAACCGCAUGGUUCAAUAGUGAAAGACGGUUUUGCUGUCACUUAUAGAUGGAUCCGCGCCGCAUUAGCUAGUUGGUAAGGUAACGGCUUACCAAGGCAACGAUGCGUAGCCGACCUGAGAGGGUGAUCGGCCACACUGGAACUGAGACACGGUCCAGACUCCUACGGGAGGCAGCAGUAGGGAAUCUUCCGCAAUGGGCGAAAGCUUGACGGAGCAACGCCGCGUGAGUGAUGAAGGUCUUCGGAUCGUAAAACUCUGUUAUUAGGGAAGAACAAAUGUGUAAGUAACUAUGCACGUCUUGACGGUACCUAAUCAGAAAGCCACGGCUAACUACGUG